ensembl:lncRNA
CAUACAAUUUAAUUCUAAGAGCUUUCAAGAAAUGGGUUGUGUUUGCUUUGCAAGUCAUAUCAUGAGAGACUGCUAAAAAUAUCAUGCUUGAAUAACAGGAGAGUAGUUGAUGUUUUCUGAAUUGAACUUUUUAGAUGAACUACUACCGUGGCAUCAGUCACCACAAUUGCAUUUCAGGAAAAUAACCAGUUGUCCUAUAAAGCUUUGCUAAGAACUUAUCCAGGGCUGCCUUUUCUCUCUCGAUUUCCCUGAGCCAGAUAUUUAAAAUCUUCUGAAGUUUUUCAACAUAAAGCUUGUUUCUCCUCUCCUCUACCAAGUUGGUCAUGACAGCCCUCCACAUGUUCAUGGGGUCUCCAACUUUCAAAGUGUUCCCCUUCAGUAUGCGGCCCUUGCCACUCAUCUUCAAACUACGUCUGAGGGAGUCUCCAACUUUUGAAGUCUUCCCCUUCGCUGUGCGGCACUUGUUACUCUUUUUCAAACUUGUCAGAGGAGGUUCCAGACAGGACUGAGAGUCAUCUUUAUUGCUGUACAGUGACUCUUCAGGGGUAAGGAAUUCUAAAACCACAGCCCCAAGGGAACAGAGCAUCUCAGAAUGUUGAGGCUGAGUGAUGUCACAGAUCCUCCUAGCUCAAACCAGCUAUGACCAGAAAAAGGUGUUAAGCUUGAAGAUUAAACCAUUCUUCAGUGAUGAAGUGAACUGAUAGAGCAGGUUGGCUCUCAGAUGCCUACUACCAUCUUAUGCUUCUACCCAGGUUGAAUGAUGUUGAUCCCUAAGAAACAUCUCACACUCCAAAGUCUGCACGGUCCCUGCUUCUGGAAAAACCUGUCUACAAUACCUUCAUUUCAUCACUCCCAACUCCACUUGUGUCAACUGGAACAUGAACAAAGCUGCACUCAACCCCUCCACUGUUUGCAGGAGAUUCAAACCAGAGCCAGUAGGAAAGAGAACAAGUCUUCCUCAUUCCUAUUUUCCCUUCUAUGUGGAUGCAACCCCAGCAGCUAGAACACUCUUGGCUUUUCUCUCUCCACUCACUCCCUCCUCCCUGAAAGGGUAAAUGCGGAGGUGUGGCCCAGCUCGUUCCUUUUUUGGAGAGGAGUUGCACACAGAAACCACAUGUUCUUCCUCAUACCCAGUGGCUGUCAGUUUUCCAGAGACAACCCGUGAUUGAGAGAGUCCUUCAGUGGCCAGUGCUGAACUGGCUGAGUGUCCAAUUCUGUGGCUUAGUUUUGAGAAGCCCAUCUGCCUGCAGACAUAAGUCACAUUCCCAAUGUCUGGUUUAUCAGUAGGAAAAGAUGUCAUGUUCACCACCAGCUGCUGACAUUCAUUCUAUGUCAUACGGUUUAAGGACUCAGACAAGAAAGAAGAUAAUCAUUAGUGAAAUUCUACCAAACCCCCUUACCUCCACAGAAAGCUCCAGCUCUGUGGCAAGAUCAGCAUGGUGGUCUGAAGGCUCUUCCUGCCUACAACUGCUCAUUUCUCCCUCACAGUACAGUAUAAGGCAUCUCCCCAUAUCAUGAUGUCUAAUUCAUCUGGUGUCCCAUUCUUGAAGAUUCUGGACUGGCAGAGAAUGUAACUUCC